UGAACUGGACUUUCACAUCUCCUCUCUGCCUCCUAUGUGGAGGAUGACUCUGGUGGGAGGACCAUGGGGCCCGGAGACCCGCUCGGAGAGGCAGCGGAGAGGAUGGGCUCAGUCCCAGGCCAGCAACCCCUCCCGGAGCCCCACCGGGGUCAGAGUACUCAGGGCCUAGAGGAAGGAGAAGCAGCUCUGGAAUACACGCAUAUGGUGAAGAAGAGGAACAGCGCGGAAAAGCUUGUAAAGAGAAGCCAGGCAGGGCCUCUUUCCAGUCCUGUUGCCAGCGGCGGCUGUGACCUGGUCCUCCUGUGACUUCUCUGCUCUUUGUAGACGCAGCCUGGGAAGGAGGUCUCGGGGUGGGUUGGAAGCCCACGGGCUUUCUGGAGCGGCCCCUCCCAGAGGCCAUCCUUAGAUUCCCAAGCCCGCUCCUCUGGGUCACUGUCACCCUCUCCCCUGCUGAUAGGUCACUUCCCACCGCCUGCAGCGCGUGGGAAGCCCCUCCAGUCACAAGGGAUCUCAGAGAAACGUCCUUACUCACACAGCCUGGCAGAGUGGACUUCUUUUUCUUUUUUUAACUUUCCUGACCAGGGAUUGAACCCGGGGGCCUUUGGCUGU